rnacentral:rRNA from 1 species
GUCCACGCCGUAAACGAUGUCGAUUUGGAGGCUGUGUCCUUGAGACGUGGCUUCCGGAGCUAACGCGUUAAAUCGACCGCCUGGGGAGUACGGCCGCAAGGUUAAACUCAAAUGAAUUGACGGGGCCCGCACAAGCGGUGGAGCAUGUGGUUUAAUUCGAUGCAACGCGAAGAACCUUACCUGGCCUUGACAUGUCUGGAAUCCUGUAGAGAUACGGGAGUGCAUUCGGGAAUCAGAACACAGGUGCUGCAUGGCUGUCGU